CAGAAAUGUAAAGAAACAGCCCUAGUCCUGAACGGUGAGAAACAUGGCUGCACAAAUUCAACAUUUUUAAUAUUUAAAUGUACUUGUUAUCUGCCGAUUUGGUCAGGCUGCUGUGGACGAUGUAAAUACAGAACGCAAAGCUCAUGCAAUUACUGAAAGGGAUGCUAUAGUGUAAGGAAUACAAAGUUUUAUUCCUUACAUUAGUUACCUUAGAUCUGCCCUCGUUGGCACAGAAAUGAAAAUAAAAAUCUCAUAGAUUGGCCAUGGCACUGGGUCGGUACUGCGCUUCCUCCAACAGCAGGGCUAAUAAGCGGCGAGUGCUUUAGGGCCUCCCCAGAGGAAGUCAUUGCUUUUUAUCCUGCAAUGACCAAAUAUGGACAUUCAAUUACCAUUUCUUGCUGCUACACCUGUCUCCAAUAUGGUAAAUUGGAGGCAUAUAUAGGUGGGUCAGCAAAUGGGAGGAUAUACUGCACUUGAAAAAGACCCUGGAGGGUCGAAACGCAUUGUGCUAGCUGCUGUGCCAGCCAUUUCUGCUUUUAUUAUUUUAUAACAAAUAAAUGUUUAACACUUCACCUUACCUGGUUCCUGCUAAGAAAAACUUAUUACAAACAUCUAAGAGGAGGAUCAGAUCCAGUGUAUCCCUUGGUGAAUGAAAUACCUUUACAGUCCAGAGCCUAACUUAUGUGGCUCUGGAAAGUGUGAGUGAACCUUUUUUAUUCUCCACAUAUUGUAAAUAUGUUUCAACAAUAUACAGUUUUCUUGUAUAGAUUAUAUAUAGGGUCCGCAGUUACUGUAAAUAGGACCUAUACAAGAUUUUAAAGGUAAAAUAUUCCACUGUUUGUGCGCUUUCACCUUUUUUUUCAGUUGACUAUUGCUUUUAUGCUGCUUAUGGGGAUUUAACGAACGCUAAAUGUCCU